rnacentral:rRNA from 1 species
UCGAGGAUCUUCGGCAAUGCGCGCAAGCUUGACCGAGCGACGCCGCGUGCGGGAUGAAGGCCUUCGGGUUGUAAACCGCUUUGGUCCGGAAGUAAGGUAGGAGCAAUCCUGCUUGAACGACCGGAGAAACAAGCACGGGCUAAGUUCGUGCCAGCAGCCGCGGUAAGACGAACCGUGCGAACGUUGUUCGGAAUCACUGGGCUUAAAGGGCGCGUAGGCGGCCGGGUUGGUCGUGGGUGAAAUCCCCCAGCUUAACUGGGGAAUUGCCUACGAUACUGCCAUGGCUCGAGGGAGGAAGGGGCGGCCGGAACUGUCGGUGGAGCGGUGAAAUGCGUUGAGAUCGACAGGAACGCCGGUGGCGAAAGCGGGCCGCUGGCCCUCUUCUGACGCUGAGGCGCGAAAGCCAGGGGAGCGUACGG